rnacentral:tRNA from 1 species
GGGACAUCGAAAAAAAGUUAAAAAAUGGACUCUUAAUCCGUUGGUUCAAGGUUCAAGUCCUUGGUGGCCUACCA